rnacentral:rRNA from 1 species
CCUACGGGUGGCAGCAGUGGGGAAUAUUGGGCAAUGGGCGCAAGCCUGACCCAGCAACGCCGCGUGAAGGAAGAAGGCCUUCGGGUUGUAAACCUCUUUUCUCAGGGACGAAGAAAGUGACGGUACCUGAGGAAUAAGCGACGGCUAACUACGUGCCAGCAGCAGCGGUAAUACGUAGGCGGCAAGAGUUAUCCGGAUUUACUGGGUGUACAGGGCGUGUAGGCGGGAAAGGAAGUCAGAUGUGAAAACCAUGGGCUCAACCUGUGGACUGCAGUUGAAACUGUUCUUCUUGAGUACUGGAGAGGCAGACGGAAUUCCUGGUGUAGCGGUGAAAUGCGUAGAUAUUAGGAGGAACACCAGUGGCGAAGGCGGUCUGCUGGACAGCAACUGACGCUGAGGCGCGAAAGCGUGGGGAGCAAACAGGAUUAGAUACCCGGGUAGUC